rnacentral:lncRNA from 1 species
AGAAAUUGGAGAAAGCCGAGCUUGCGAUGGGAUUCGACGUGAAGAUGGAAGAAAGUAGAGAUUGGGCUUUUAAUUACUUGUUAUAUUUUUUAUGAAGCUCAAAACUCUUAGUUUUAUUUUAUUUUGGAUAUUAAUUAAGUUUAGGGCCGAAGCCCAUGUUAUUUUGGUUUAAGCGGCCUAGAAGGGAUUUAUUUCCUUAUUUUGGUGUUAGGGCCGCAUAGUUAG